rnacentral:rRNA from 1 species
AGUGAACGCUGGCGGUAGGCCUAACACAUGCAAGUCGAACGGCAGCACAGUAAGAGCUUGCUCUUACGGGUGGCGAGUGGCGGACGGGUGAGGAAUACAUCGGAAUCUACUUUUUCGUGGGGGAUAACGUAGGGAAACUUACGCUAAUACCGCAUACGACCUACGGGUGAAAGCAGGGGAUCUUCGGACCUUGCGCGAUUGAAUGAGCCGAUGUCGGAUUAGCUAGUUGGCGGGGUAAAGGCCCACCAAGGCGACGAUCCGUAGCUGGUCUGAGAGGAUGAUCGGCCACACUGGAACUGAGACACGGUCCAGACUCCUACGGGAGGCAGCAGUGGGGAAUAUUCGACAAAGGGCGCAAGCCUGAUCCAGCCAUACCGCGUGGGUGAAGAAGGCCUUCGGGUUGUAAAGCCCUUUUGUUGGGAAAGAAAAGCAGCAGGUUAAUACCCCGCUGUUCUGACGGUACCCAAUGAAUAAGCACCGGCUAACUUCGUG